AGAGUUUGAUCCUGGCUCAGAACGAACGCUGGCGGCAGGCUUAACACAUGCAAGUCGAGCGAACGGAUGGACUUCGGUCCUGAAGUUAGCGGCGGACGGGUGAGUAACGCGUGGGAACGUGCCCUUAGGUACGGAACAACAGUUGGAAACGACUGCUAAUACCGUAUGAUGUCUUUCGAGACCAAAGAUUUAUCGCCUAGGGAUCGGCCCGCGUUGGAUUAGGUAGUUGGUGGGGUAAUGGCCUACCAAGCCUACGAUCCAUAGCUGGUUUGAGAGGAUGAUCAGCCGCACUGGGACUGAGACACGGCCCAGACUCCUACGGGAGGCAGCAGUGGGGAAUCUUGGACAAUGGGGGCAACCCUGAUCCAGCCAUGCCGCGUGAACGAUGAAGGCCUUAGGGUUGUAAAGUUCUUUCAGCAGGGAAGAUAAUGACGGUACCUGCAGAAGAAGCCCCGGCUAACUCCGUGCCAGCAGCCGCGGUAAUACGGAGGGGGCUAGCGUUGUUCGGAAUUACUGGGCGUAAAGCGCGCGUAGGCGGAUUGUUAAGUCGGGGGUGAAAUCCCGGGGCUCAACCCCGGAACUGCCUCCGAUACUGGCAGUCUAGAGGUCGAGAGAGGUGAGUGGAAUUCCGAGUGUAGAGGUGAAAUUCGUAGAUAUUCGGAGGAACACCAGUGGCGAAGGCGGCUCACUGGCUCGAUU
rnacentral:rRNA from 1 species